GAUUCCACGGUUAACUGUGUUUCUGAAGAGAGGAUGAUCAGGUCACACCUGGACUGAGAACCGGUUCCAGAUUCUACGGAGGCAGGCAGUGAGGAAUAUAGGCAUGGCUCGAUAGAGUGACCCAGCCAUCGCCGCGUGCAGGACGAAGUAUUCUAUAUCGUAAACUCCUGUGAGAGCAGACGAAAGACAGAUAUAUCUGAUGACUGUAUGCUCAGAGGAAGCCCGGCUAACUACGUGCCAGCAGCCGCGGUAAUACGUAGGGGGCAAGCGUUGUCCUGGAUUCACUGGGUGUAAAGGGCGCGUAGGCGGGAUAGCAAGUCAGUGGUGAAAUCUUGCAGCUCAACUGCAAAACUGCCAUUGAUACUGCUGUUCUUGAAUGUGGAAGAGAGAGGCGGAAUUCCAGGUGUAGUAGUGAAAUACGUAGAUAUCUGGAAGAACACCAAUUGCGAAGGCUGCUUCUUGGUCCAUUAUUGACGCUGAGGCGCGAAAGCGUGGGGAGCAAACAGGAUUAGAUACCCUGGUAGUCCACGCUGUAAACGAUGAGUGCUAGAUGCCGGAUUUUUUCGGUGUCGCAGCUAACGCAUUAAGCACUCCACCUGGGAAGUACGAUCGCAAGGUUGAAACUCAAAGGAAUUGACGGGGGCCCGCACAAGCAGUGGAGCAUGUGGUUUAAUUCGAUGCAACGCGAAGAACCUUACCUAGGUUUGACAUCCCUCGAACCCUCCUGAAAGGGAGGGGUGCCCUUCGGGGAGCGGGGUGACAGGUGCUGCAUGGCUGUCGUCAGCUCGUGCCGUGAGGUGUUGGGUUAAGUCCCGCAACGAGCGCAACCCUUACCAUUAGUUGCCACCGGAGCAAUCCGAGCACUCUAAUGGAACUGCCUACGCAAGUAGUGAGGAAGGUGAGGAUGACGUCAAGUCCGCAUGGCCCUUACGCCUAGGGCUACACACGUGCUACAAUGGCCGCCACAACGGGCAGCAAAAUCGCGAGAUGGAGCGAAUCCCUAAAAAGCGGCCUCAGUUCGGAUUGGAGUCUGCAACUCGACUCCAUGAAGUUGGAAUUGCUAGUAAUCGCGUAUCAGCAUGACGCGGUGAAUACGUUCCCGGGCCUUGUACACACCGCCCGUCAAGCCAUGGAAGCCGGGGGUACCCAAAGAUAGUGACUCAACCGCAAGGAGAGAGCUAUUUAAGGUAAAACUGGUGACUGGGGCUAAGUCGUAACAAGGUAGCCGUA
rnacentral:rRNA from 1 species